rnacentral:rRNA from 1 species
AGUGAACGCUGGCGGUAGGCCUAACACAUGCAAGUCGAACGGCAGCACAGUAAGAGCUUGCUCUUACGGGUGGCGAGUGGCGGACGGGUGAGGAAUACAUCGGACUCUACUUUUUCGUGGGGGAUAACGUAGGGAAACUUACGCUAAUACCGCAUACGACCUACGGGUGAAAGCAGGGGAUCUUCGGACCUUGCGCGAUUGCAUGAGCCGAUGUCGGAUUAGCUAGUUGGCGGGGUAAAGGCCCACCAAGGCGACGAUCCGUAGCUGGUCUGAGAGGAUGAUCAGCCACACUGGAACUGAGACACGGUCCAGACUCCUACGGGAGGCAGCAGUGGGGAAUAUUGGACAAGGGGCGCAAGCCUGAUCCAGCCAUACCGCGUGGGUGAAGAAGGCCUUCGGGUUGUAAAGCCCUUUUGUUGGGAAAGAAAAGCAGCAGGUUAAUACCCCGCUGUUCUGACGGUACCCAAAGAAUAAGCACCGGCUAACUUCGUG